rnacentral:piRNA from 1 species
CUGCACACUGGGCUGGGAACAUG